UACGGAAGGCAGCAGUGGGGAAUAUUGCACAAUGGGCGCAAGCCUGAUGCAGCCAUGCCGCGUGUAUGAAGAAGGCCUUCGGGUUGUAAAGUACCUUCAGUCGUGAGGAAGGUGUUAAGGUUAAUAACCUUAGCAAUUGACGUUAGCGACAGAAGAAGCACCGGCUAACUCCGUGCCAGCAGCCGCGGUAAUACGGAGGGUGCGAGCGUUAAUCGGAAUUACUGGGCGUAAAGGGCACGCAGGCGGUUAAUUAAGUUGGAUGUGAAAUCCCCGGGCUUAACCUGGGAAUGGCAUUCAAGACUGGUUAGCUAGAGUCUUGUAGAGGGGGUAGAAUUCCAUGUGUAGCGGUGAAAUGCGUAGAGAUGUGGAGGAAUACCGGUGGCGAAGGCGGCCCCUGGGACAAAGGACUGACGCUCAUGUGCGAAAGCGUGGGGAGCGAAACAGGGAUUAGAUACC
rnacentral:rRNA from 1 species